GCCUACACAGCCCUGCCUCCUCCUACGCUGUCUUCUGCUUCGUCCAGCAUAACCCCCAAAACCACCUCACCCGACAGAACAGGCGGCGGCGGCGGCGGAAUCGGGCGAGAUGAUCAAGAGGCGCUACUUCAGGCAAGACCACGGCGACAAUAGCGCCUCCUCGUCCUCCUCCUCUUCGGGUUCUGAUUCGGACCGCGACCCCGCGGAAGAAGAGGUCUCGGAGGAGGAAGUAGAAGGGGAGCAAGAAAAAGAAGAAGAAGAUGAUGAUGAAGAAGCGGAGGUGGAGUCGGGGGAAGAACAGGAAAAGGAAGUAGAUGAGCAGGCCGAAGAUGAGGGUUCAGGAUACCAAAGUGAGGACAGCUCUGGACAUCAUGUUGAUAGUCCUUGUGCAGGUUUACUUUCAGAUGAGAACAGCAGUCUGGUGUAUGAACAAUACCAAGCAAUCAGGUUGCCUGCUAAGAAAGCAUCAAGUGGUGAUGCUGAUUCUGCCGAAGGUGCUGUUAACAAGGAUGACACUGUUGAGGUCGAUUUCAAUAACUACAUUCUGAAGUGCAAAUCUGUGUAUAAGUGCAAGCUUUGUCCCAGAAUCAUGUGCUUAAGUGAGGAGAUGGUCAGGGUACAUCUUGAAUCAAAGAGACAUGCUCGAUCAAAGAAACUACUGGGAGAAGGUAGGCUUAAGAUGGUGCUCAACAGUGAUGGUGAGCUGGAGGAAGAGGCAGAGACACAUGCUGAACGACAUGCCCGAACUAUAGCUCUUGCUCAGCAAGUACAAAAGCCCAAGAAGGAUUCAGGCAGGCAGCGACAAAAUCGGAGAAGACAGAAGGUAUGGGAUCACAUCCUCCAUAGUUGUAUUAGCAUCUAGGCACAAUACACAUCGAAGGCUUUUAGGCGCCAUAUUAAAAGGCAGACUGGACUGCGCUGAAAUGAUCUCCAGCAGCAUGUCAUCAUGGAGGUUACAGUAAGAGGUCGCAGAAUCGUCUCAAGGACAAAGAUCAGAGACACAGCUCUGGAAAGGAAGGUGCAAGGCCGAACAAUGGAACUGCUGAUAAGAAAAUGCCGAAUGUUGAAACUGCUGCUAAGAAAAUGCCGAAUCUUGAAACUGCUGCUAAGAAAAGGCGCAAGACUGAAAAAUAAGUCGGUGCUGCAGAAAUAUUUCUUGCGUGUCAUUUCUUCCUAUAUUGUUGUAAUUUUUAGGAGCUUUCUGCGGUUUUACUGUUUCUGGUUUGCUUCUUUAAGUGUAGUUCAUGAAAGCUGAGAGAUUAAAUUGAAAGGAAAGACGACAACUAGAAAGUGGACAUUUAAUCGUGCAUGCAACUUGUUAUAAGUUUGCUACUCCCAGUAAUUUGUAGGGUUUGACACGGUUGAAGUUUCA